rnacentral:rRNA from 1 species
GAUGAACGCUGGCGGCGUGCCUAAUACAUGCAAGUCGAGCGAACAGAUAAGGAGCUUGCUCCUUUGACGUUAGCGGCGGACGGGUGAGUAACACGUGGGUAACCUACCUAUAAGACUGGGAUAACUUCGGGAAACCGGAGCUAAUACCGGAUAACAUUUGGAACCGCAUGGUUCUAAAGUGAAAGAUGGUUUUGCUAUCACUUAUAGAUGGACCCGCGCCGUAUUAGCUAGUUGGUAAGGUAACGGCUUACCAAGGCAACGAUACGUAGCCGACCUGAGAGGGUGCUCGGCCACACUGGAACAGAAACACUGUCCAGGCCCCUACGGGAGGCAGCAGGAGGGAAUCUUCCGCAAUGGGCGAAAGCCUGACGGAGCAACGCCGCGUGAGUGAUGAAGGGUUUCCGCUCGUAAAACUCUGUUAUUAGGGAAGAACAAACGUGUAAGUAACUGUGCACGUCUUGACGGUACCUAAUCAGAAAGCCACGGCUAACUACGUG